ensembl:lncRNA MIR99AHG mir-99a-let-7c cluster host gene
GGGGUGUCAGCUCAACUGUAAAAGCUGCACAGAUUUUUUUUCUUUCUCUCUCUCUGCCUCUCCAUAGAUUGUUUCUGUUUCAUGCCCUGUCUCAUUUCGCAUAGCUAAAAAAGAAUGCUAAUUAAGAUCCCUUGUCUUAACCUGAAAAAUAAUGACUCGGCUGUAAUUAGAAAUCUGGUGAGAGUUUAAAAAUUCUGGUAGGGGACCAAAAACAUCAGUUACGGUGCUUAGGAAGAAAAUGAAGAAUUAUUUUUCUGAAAUCAAGGUAAACAUGGGAGAGGGGGGUUCCCCCCAUCUUUUUAACCAAUUUUAACCAAUGGUGUUCUACUGCAGAUGAGAAGAUACUGUAUUUCAAAAACUAUUUUAACCAUCAAAUUGAAGGAACACAAAUCAGUAGCAAUAGAAGCCUUCUUAAUCCUCCUUAGGAUGCAAUUCAGAUGAAAGAACUGCUUUUUCUAUUUUUCUUUUUGUGUGUGUGUGUUAUAGAUGGAUCUGAGAACGCUGUCUGGGCUUGGUACCAAGAGCUGGUAUUUCACAGCAGCGACCGCCUCACAGACGAGCUGUGGGAAGCAGGAGGGAGACUCUCUCUUAGGGUGCCACUACUAUGGAGACACAGCUGGGCUGAACAAGAUUUGCUUCAAACGACAACAAGAGAGACAGAAAGUAUCUGGUUCAACCGCUGCCCGAGCAGGCAGGCACCAGAAGAGCUAGCAGCCAAUCCGGCCAUGCUCGAAGCCAGCUCUGCAGCUCAGCCAAUCAGUGACAUCAUUGCUUUCUUUAGCUUGCCCAUGGUGAUGUGAAGAUGAGAAGAAAUAGCAAGGCCCAACCAGUUCUUCAUCUGGAGACAGUUCAACGUUCUGCAAACCAGAUCUUCAGGAAUUUUACUGGGAUAAUUAUCCAAAUAAAUUGCAAGCAUUCUAUCCAAAUGGACAUCCAUAAAAAUUCAUCAGAGAGCAUUUUACUACUGAGCUGCAAAGGUAGGAAAAAUAAAUUUUUUUUGGUUAGAAAAUAUACUUCUUUCAUCUGCGUUUCAAUAAUUUAUUCCCCUUGUUAGAUAUACAUGGAAUUGAUAUUGCUUAUUCUGACUAAGUGAAAAGUGUUAUUUCUACUUACUGCUCAAUUAGAAACAUGUAGUGUUUAAUUGUCAGUUUGAAUUUUUCUUUCAUACUAUUACAGUUUAUAUUUUACUAUAGGCAGAAUUUCCUCUUUAUCCUAAAUUUUGAUAUUCUCCAUAAUUUCAUCGUGCCUUGACAUUGCUGUAUAUAAUUUCUAUACAUCAGGAAGGCAAUUCUGUGUGCAUGUGUGUGUGUAUAUAUAUAGUUAGAAGUUAGAAACUGAAACUCUUUUUUGUCUACCAUCAUUUCAUAUUUUUCUUGCUAUUUCAAACCUAUAAUUUUUAAAGAAACGACUAACGUAAUCAUUCAUAGAAUAUGCUGUCAGUAACUUAACAAUAUAAAUGUUAACAUGGAGGCAUUUAGUUCAGCAUUUGCUUUACUUAAUAGAGUGCAGAAAAUGUGGCCCUUUUCUCAGUUAGGGUGUAUGUGAAGAUAAAUUUAGAAUUUCUAGACUAGUAAAUACUUCUCUGAUAAUAACUUAAUUAUAGCUAUUUCAAACCAAAUUGUUUAAUUGUGGUGAAUCAUAUGUAAAUUGUUCAGAUGUAGGUCAACACCCACGCCCACAUUCUAGCACCUCUUUCCUAAUUCAAGACAACUUUGCAGUGCCUAAAAGAGCUGAACAGUGCAGAUUAGAGACAUAAGACAAAAAAAAAAAAAAAACACAAAACAA